AAAUAUCAUUUUUUUAUAUUCUGUAUAGCCUUAUUGUUUCUUUUUUGCUGUUGUCAUCCAACACCUCAUCUCCCUUCUCUUUCAAUUCAUUUUGUCCUUUUUUCUUCUCCUCUCUUAAGCUGCCCAAACCUAAGUCUUUUCCACCCUUAUUGCCAUCCACUUCCCCUCCAUUGAAGGUGAUUUGUUGGUAAUUUUCUUCACCUUUUUGCUGUCAUUUUUCAUUCAUUUUCCAGCCUUUAAUUUUUUUUAUCACUAAAAUACAACCUUCAUUGUCACCACAAAAAUACCAUUACUGCCCCCUUUCCUCCUUGUAUUCGGACAACUCAAAUUCGAAGCUAGAUCGAGGAAAAGAAAAAAGUUUCGGAUUAGUAGAGUUUUAUAUACAAACAAAUGUUGAGUGCUCAAGAGCUCGCAAAGGUUGGAGAUUGGUCGGAGCAUCAUGACACAAUUUACUAGCAUCGUUUUGGUAUAAAUAAUAAACUUAUUUUGGUAUAAUGGCAUGUAUAGGUUAACUUGACCAAAUGAUGGCUUGUAAAUGGAUGUUUGUAAUCUAGCCAUUAGUAUGGCUGGUGAAGUUUGAUUUGGUAUAUUACUACAAAGUGAUAUCAUGUUAAUAUA